rnacentral:lncRNA from 9 species
GGCCCUAAAAAGACAAAUAAAAUAAAAGCAAUGUAAUUGAAUUCCCUUAAAUAAGGACUUGGUGGUUUGCUUCACUGUGUGUUGUGACAGUUAAAAUUAAAAAAACAAAACAUAACACUUAGCUUUAAUUCUUUCGUAAUAAUGGCAAAUUUUGUUUGUGUUUAGACUUAGGAAUGAUUGUGUGGGAGUUAAGGGCUUUCUAAACUAAUCAUUUUAAGGAUAAUUUGGUCAGAAGCCAAGGGAAUGCCUGGAAAAUAAUAAACAGAAUAAACUAUUCUGAAAGUUAUUUUUUACAUUGGCUAUCUCAUGUUAAAAAUAAUUUUUCUGCUAUAUACUUGAGAUGAUUCAUCUUCCAUUAGCUGAUAGAUUUCAUGUGAUUUUUUUUUAGGAAAAGAAAUGUGAUAUAUAAAAUAUUUCAUAAAGGGAAACAAAGCACCCAUUAAUUUCCAUUUGCUGUGUGUAUAAGGAAAUCAAACCAGUUCAGUGGUUCAAUUCUCUAAAUUCUACGGUUAGAACUUUUCUCCCUUCAAUUCUUCUGUUACUCUAAGUGUGAUUAAUAGGAGUGUUUUAUUACAUGUUUCUCUUCAGACUUCUUGAGUCAUAAGCAAACUUUCAUCUUGAAUUGGUUUAAUAGCUAGUGUUACUGAUGAACACUAAUAUGCAGAAGAGACUGGUAAUCGCUGGGUUUUCAUAGCUGAAACAGACAAUAGUGAGGUAUAUUUUUCCUGGAGAGAGGAAAAAAAUUUCUCAAUAGCACCUGGAAUACAGAUGAAGAAACUAUAAAAAAGUAUACAAAAGAUAUCUUGAUAAGUAGCAGAUUCAAAGAGGACAUAAAAGGAACUGGAUAACUGCCGACAUAACUCUUUUCUCUACUGCAUUAUUUCCUUUUAAAGUCCCCCCCUUUUUAAGGUUAGAGUUCAAAAAGGACAUGUUUUCCCACAAACAAGGAAGAUCAAAGUAAAAUGCUCUUCUGUUAUUCAAUUGCGACACAGAGCGAGGGAGACUGACUGACCAAUGGCGGAAAUCAAGAGCCUUAGGCAGAAAUGAUACAAGGUCUUUAAACAGGUACACGUAUUUCCGAUGUUUAGAAUGCCUGGGUGGUGAUGUGGACUAGGUAGUGAUCCAGAAAGAGAAUCUAAGAUAUGUCCCUUAAGCCACCUAAAGGCAUGACUAAGAACAAGUCACUCUAAACAAUGAAGUAAGGGCUAAGAAAACACCAAAUGUGGGCACUGAGCUAGAACUGGACAUUUUGUGAAGUGACAAGGUGUGUGUUCCCCUCUCACCAGGCAGAAAUGUGAGAAGGAAAUGUCACACUCUGCCGAGGGGAGGGAGGUGUGUCACAAUCACUUCAGGGACUUCUUCAGGCUGCUUUUGCCUCAAAGAUAUUCUGACAACCCCCCCCCCCGACACACACACACACACACACACACACACACACACACUGCACACAAUCGUACUUCCUCCUUAAUAAUCAGUGCCCAUUAGAGCCAGCGUUACUGAUCAGUGGGUUAUCACAGCCUUUGGCUGGGACAGAAAAGAGGCUAAGAACCACCGCCUCGGGCAGUUUAUUUCCCUCCAGGCUUUGUGUGACCAUCCGUGUUGCUGGGAUGGCUCCCAGUUCUUCAGGGAGGAGAGCCGACUGUGAGUCUGCAGAAGCCACCCCACCUUCUCGCCAAUCCUUCCUGCACCCCACAAGCAUGGAUGCUCACACACACACAAUGGGCUUGCGCCGAGAAGCCGGCAAAUGUCCACUGUGCUCACACUACUUAGAGCACUAUUGUGCAAACUUCAAGACAGAUGCACAGGACAGGGAAGACAUGAUCUCUGCCCGGAGGAUGGCAGAGGGCUCUGUAAGCCCACCGUCUGGCACGUAUCUAAGUAGGGUCCUCUUUGUAACGCAUCUGCUGACAGAAUGUCAGCCAGAUAGCAGAAUGCUGUCUAACUCAAUGGACUUAGAAAAUUAAUAUGUCUUGUUGACUAAUAUGAAAGCCUUCUUGUCCCAUAGCUUUGUGUGCAUAACAAAUAUUUGUUGAAUGUAUGAUAAACACAAAGAUGUGGGCAUAGCUCACCUCAGCCGGGUUGAUAAACAACAGAUGAAUCUUCAAAAGAGCUUCUAAUUUCUAUCUCACGGUUAUUAUGCUUCCUCUAUUCCCUCAAAUAUCCCAACCAUAAACUCCAUAAGGAACAAUUCAGAGACAAAUUUUCUUCCAAAUUUUACUUAUUAUCGGACUCAGAAAAUAAUUAUAGUUAAAACAUAGCACUGCUAUAUGCAGGGAAGUGUGUUUAUUAAUUUUUGUGCAUCUUGUUAAGGCUCACAAAUGUUCUAUAAAAUGGGAACUACUAUUAUCCUCUUUUUUUUUUUUUUUUUUUUUUUGGUCUUUUCCAAGGCCGCACCCAUGGCACAUGGAGGUUCCCAGGCUAGGGGUCCAGUUGGAGCUGUUGCUACUGGCCUACGCCAAAGUCACAGCAACACCAGAUCUGAGCUGCGUCUGUGACCUACAUCACAGGUCACGGCAACGCGGGAUUCCCAACCCACUGAGCAAGGCCACGCAUUGAACCCGCAACCUCAUGGUUCCUAGUCGGAUUCAUUAACCACCGAGCCACGAAGGGAACUCCUAUCCUCUUUAACAUAGAUGAGAAAACCGAGCUUCGGGCUUAGACAACUUUUCCAUCUGGUAUGUAGCAUGAAAAUCACAGAGCUGGUAAGAGGGAGAGCCCAGAUCUAUUUAAUGACAAAAUCUAUACUCUUUUCUUUUUUUUUUAGGUCCACACCAGCCUUCACUACAGCCACAACAAUGAGAGAUCCUAGCCGCAACUGUGAUGAUGCAGAUCCGAGCCACAUCUGUGACCUGCACCAUAGUUCACUGAACGCUGGAUCCUUCAACCCUCUGAACAAGGCCAGGAAUCAAACCUGCGUCCUCAAGGGUACUGGUCAGGUUUGGUACCACUGAACCACAAUGGGAACUCCAAAAUCUAUACUCUUAACUAUGACUCUGUAUUAUUACUCUAUUUACCAAUAUGGAUAUAAACACACUAAAAAUACUAUUUAAAGCUAACAAAGACUGUCUGAGGCUGUGGUUAUAUGUGUGUGUGUGUACAUAUACUUUUGCUGGGGGAGCAUGCCUGAGGCAUGUAAAAGUUCCUGGGUCAGGGAUCAAACUCACAUCACAGGAAUGACCCAAGCCACAGCAGUGACAAGGCUAAUCCUUAACCCACUGCACCUCGAGAGAACUUCAACAUAUAUAUACACGCACUCUUGACAACUGACACAGUCUAAGAAAAGUAUUUUGCUUAAAAACACCAUUGUUUUAGAUAUCAUGCUUGUUCUUCUAAUUAAACAGCAAAAAUCUUUCUCAGAGUUUUGAAAAUAUAGUCAGUUUUCAUUAUUUCUGGUAGUUAUGUGCUUUAAAGCAGCUCUUAACACUGAAUCACUGCAUUCUGAGACACUGCACCUAAGGGAAACACAGGCUUAGGUUCCUGUGAGCCUCUGGUCACAUGUUUGUCAACAAAUCAACAUAUACUCUUUUUUUGGUGUGUUUUUCUGUUUAAAGAUUAUAGAUUAUAUUUAAGCUACACUGAGUAAUUGAUUUGAACUCACAGCCAACAGCAUUAUACCUCGUGCCUGAAUGUCCUUACCCAACACACCUAUUUUCUCUGUAAGAAAAAAAUCACAGCCUUCUUACACUUAGGAACCCUAGACAGCUCUUCGGCGCUACACCUGGGGGCCAUUUUCAGGAGUGAAAUCAGCAACUAAAACAAACACAGAAAAUGUGGCACUAAACAGACCAUGAAAAGGACCCUCAUUACAGUAUGAGCUGAAACAGGAAGUGUUCAGCCUCCUCUGGGGACAUGCACCACUGCUCUGUGCAUGUCCACGGAUGACUGGAAAAGCCCCCCAGGAUGUUGACUUUGGGGUUACAAAUAAAUUGUAGAAUAAGUGAAUUCAUAACUGUUGACUUGGUGAAUAAAGAAGAGAAUCAUGUAUAUAUAAAUCACAUGAAGGAAAUCAUGGCAGAUACACUGAGUGAAGCCAAUGUCAUACUAGCUCAUUCUUUCAAACGGCAGCUCAGCUCAUGGGUUCCCACACAGUUUUAGUCCAUUUAAACCAUUCUCCAACCACACAACCACACACAUGAAAUAAUUUAUCUUGGGUUACAGAGGCACAUCAUCUCGGAAUCUGCAUUUUUUAAAAUUUAAUUUUUUAAAUUAUUUCCCCAAAGCAUUUUUUCCUACUGUACAGCAUGGUGACCCAGUUACACAUACAUGUACACAUUCUAUUUUCACACAUUAUCAGGCUCCAUCAUAGGUAACUAGACAGAGUUCCCACUGCUACACAAGAGGAUCUCAUUGCUAAUUCAUUCCAAAGGCAAUAGUUUGCAUCCAUUAACCCCAAGCUCCCAAUCCACCCCACACUCUCCCCGUCCCCCUUGGCAACCACAAGUCUCUUCUGCAAGCCCAUGAUUUUCUUCUCUGUGGAAAGGUUCAUUUGUGCUGUGUAUUAGAUUUCAGAUAUAAGUGAUAUAAUGUGGUAUUUGUCUUUUUCUUUCUGGCUUACUUCACUCAGGAUGAGAGUCUCUAGUUCCAUCCCUGUUGCUGCAAAUGCCAUUAUUUUGUUCUUUUUUAUGGCUGAGUAGUAUUCCAUUGUGUAUACAUACCACAUCUUCCUGAUCCAAUCAUCUGUCGAUGACAUCUGGGUUGUUUCCAUUUAUUGGCUAUUGUGAAUAGUGCUUCAAUGAACAUGCAGGUGUGUGUGUCUUUUUGAAGGAGAGUUUUGUCUGGAUACAUGCCCAAGAGUGGGAUUGCUGGGUCAUAUGGUAGUUCUAUGAAUAGAUUUCUAAGGUAUCUCCAUACUGUUCUCCAUAGUGGUUGUACCAGCUUACAUUCCCACCAACAGUGCAGGAGGGUUCCCUUUUCUCCACACCCCCUCUAGCAUUUGUUAUUUGUGGACUUAUUAAUGAUGGCCAUUCUGACUGGUGUGAGGUGGUAUCUCAUGGUAGUUUUGAUUUGCAUUCCUCUAAUGAUCAGGGACGUUGAACAUGUUUUCAUGUGCUUGUUGGCCACCUGUACAUCUUCCUUGGAAAAAUUGUCUAUUCAGGUCUCUUGCCCAUUUUUCCAUUGGGUUGUUGGCUUUUUUGCUGUUGAGUUGUAUAAAUUGCUUGUAUAUUCUAGGGGUUAAGCCCUUGUCAGUGGCAUUGUUUGAAACUAUUUUCUCCCAUUCUAUAAGUUGUCUUUUUUGUUUUCUUUUUGGUUUCCUUUGCUGUGCAAAAGCUUGUCCGUUUGAUUAGGUCCCAUCGGUUUAUUUUUGCUCUUAUUUCUGUUGCCUUGGGAGAAUGACCUGAGAAAAUAUUUGUAAGGCUGAUGUCAGAGAAUGUUUUGCCUGUGUUCUCUUCCAGGAGUUUGAUGGUGUCUUGUCUUAUGUUUAAGUCUUUCAGCCAUUUUGAGUUUAUUUUUGUGCAUGGUGUGAGGGUGUGUUCUAGUUUCAUUGCUUUGCAUGCAGCUGUCCAGGUUUCCCAGCACUACUUGCUGAAAAGACUGUUUUUUUCCCAUUUUAUGUUCUUGCCUCCCUUGUCAAAGAUUAAUUGACCACAGGUGUCUGGGUUUAUUUCUGGGUUCUCUAUUCUGUCCCAUUGGUCUGUCUGUCGGUUUUGGUACCAGUUCCACACUGUCUUGAUUACUGUGGCUCUGUAAUAGUGCCUGAGGUCUGGGAGAGUUAUGCCUCCUGCUUGGUUUUUGUUCCUGAGAAUUGCUUUGGCAAUUCUAGGUCUUUUGUGGUUCCAUAUACAUUUUUGGAUUGUGUGUUAUAGUUCUGUGAAAAAUGUCUUAGGUAAUUUGAUAAGAAUUGCAUUGAAUCUAUAGAUUGCUUUGGGUGGUAUGGCCAUUUUUACAAUAUGAAUUUUUCCAACCCAGGAGCAUGGAAUAUCUUUCCAUUUCUUUACAUCUUCUUUAAUCAAUUUCCUUGAUUAAUGUUUUAUAGUUCUCGGCAUAUAAGUCUCUCACCUCCUUGGUCAUGUGUAUUCCCAGGUUUUUUACUUUUUGGGGUGUAAUUUUAAAAGGUAUUGUAUUUUUGUAUUCCUUUUCUACUCUUUCAUUGUUAGUAUACAGAAAUGCGGCUGGGGUUCCCAUCGUGGCACAGUGGUUAAUGAAUCUGACUAGGAACCAUGACGUUGCGGGUUUGAUCCCUGGCCUUGCUCAGUGGGUUAAGGAUCCAGCGUGGUGAGCUGUGGUGUGGCUUGCAGACACGGUUCAGGUCCCACAUUGCUGUGGCUCUGGAGUAGGCCAGCAACAAAAGCUCUGAUUAGACCCCUAUCCUGGGAACCUCCAUAUGCCACGGGUACGGCCCAAGAAAA